rnacentral:rRNA from 1 species
GACGGAGGGUGCUAGCGUUGUUCGGAAUGACUGGGCGUAAAGGGCGCGUAGGCGGCCGGUUGCGUCGGAUGUGAAAGCCCGGGGCUCAACCCCGGAACGGCAUCCGAUACGGGCUGGCUCGAGACCGAGAGAGGUGAGUGGAAUACCCAGUGUAGAGGUGAAAUUCGUAGAUAUUGGGUGGAACACCGGUGGCGAAAGCGGCUCACUGGCUCGGUUCUGACGCUGAGGCGCGAAAGCGUGGGAGCAACAGG